CUCUCACUUUAUAAUACUUUAUUCAUUUCAUUUUAUUAGACGCAGUACAAUUGAAUUUUCAAAUCUGUGACAUAUUACCAAAGAGAAUUAAAGAAAGUAAAAAGUGAGAGAAGUGGUUUAGGAAUGGAGGAUGUUGUCAUUUCAAAACGGGAGCAUUUUAAUCAUCUUUCAUUUUUAUCUGAUACUGUUACUCCAUUUCUUAGUCAAUGCAACAUGGAAAAUGUAGAUCCAAACUAUAGCGUAGAGCAUGGCAUAAAAUCCUAUGAAAAUAUAGAUCCAUUGGAUACUCUUAAAGACACAGAACAUGUAAGUUUUAAAAUACAUUAUAUAUUUUAUCCUUUGUUAUAUCAGUUGUAAUUUUA
rnacentral:lncRNA from 1 species